rnacentral:lncRNA from 1 species
CUGGUGUGCGCUUUUCACCUGGAGGGUUCUAAAGUUUGGAAACAAUACAGAACUGCUACCAAUGUCUGGUUGAGAAGAAAGGACAAUGGAGAAAGCAUGCAUUGUUCCUUUUUAGCAUGACCGGAUGAAUACAGCAGACAUUAGCCAGGCUUGAGCCCUAGAGAGAUGAGAGGAGUCAGGCUGAAAAAGAAUUUCAGGAGGACAGAUGGAGAACAUAGACUGUGCUCAUGUCAGGGACUUGCAGUGUGAAAGACCUCAUGGGGACUUUUGAAGAACCAUUACCUGAUCCUCAUGAGAGAUAUACAUUUAAGUGAAUACUACAGAAAAAAAAAAGCACUGGAAGCCAGCCAUGGAUAGCAAAGAUAAAGCUUCAUAAGAGGAGAAACUAAGAAAAUAUUAUUUUUGAUUUUCUACAUAGACAAUUAUACCUCUGUGAACAAAGACAGUUUAUUUCUUCCUUCCCAAGACCAGUUUUGCUGUUUCCCAGGCAGUUCUUGAACUCCUGCCUCAAGCUAUCCUCCUGCCUCAGCUUCCUGAGUAGCUGGGAUUACAGCCCCUGGCAACCACCAGUCUAUUCUCUGCUUCAACGAUUUCGACUAUUUAAGAUAAGUCAGCCUUUGGAAGUUUAACUAUUAGACUUUUAUGGUAUUGUGACUGAUGGCAAGUUCGCAACACUAUGGUAUGCCUGCAGCAAUCCCGACCCUUGUCUUCUCAGAGGAAAGAUUUCAACUGAGAGACCUAGGGGCAAGCUGUUGCUCAAUUGCUGCCUGCCAGCACUUGGGAUAGGCCACAUGUGCAGUGUGUUUGCUGAAGUUGUGUGCAUGCUCUUCAGGAGCUGUGGAAGAUCCAAACUUACUGAAGGCAAGCAAAUCUUAACUU